UGAAAGCAUAAAUGUAGAGAGAACUUCUCUAAGAGUUA
rnacentral:tRNA from 1 species